rnacentral:rRNA from 1 species
UACGCAGGGUGCAAGCGUUAAUCGGAAUUACUGGGCGUAAAGCGUGCGCAGGCGGUUCGUUGUGUCGGCGGUGAAAGCCCCGGGCUCAACCUGGGAAUGGCCGUUGAAACUGGCGAACUGGAGUGUGGCAGAGGGGGUGGAAUUCCGCGUGUAGCAGUGAAAUGCGUAGAGAUGCGGAGGAACACCGAUGGCGAAGGCAGCCCCCUGGGCUGACACUGACGCUCAGGCACGAAAGCGUGGGGAGCAAACAGG